GAGAGGCGGGACUUGAUUAUACCACGUGAUCAUCCUCGCGGACAGCGCGGCUGUGCGGGCGGAGAGCUGUCGAUCCCAGUGAUUAAUGCCAAAGCCCUGUUGCCUGGGGAGAGGGUGAUGUUUGACUUUCUUGUACAGCUGCAGUUUGUGUGGUGAAGGUGCUCCCACAAUGUGGUUGGGUUGUUAAGGCGGAGAGGUGGCCUACUGUUCCUGUCGGGUGUGGAAGAUUAGGGAGAGUUUCAAUGAACCUGAUGAUUUGUCUGCAAGAAGUGUGAUUGCAAAUCCUAUUGGAUCACAUGGAUUGGUGGAGGAGUGAUUAAAGGCAGUGAGGAAUUGACAGGAGCCCGGGAGUGUGAUAGGCGGCAGUCUCAGGAUACUGCAGAUACAGUCAGGAUGAGGCUGUCACUGUCUCGGCCAGCAUUUAUUGCUGCGUUUACCCAGAGGGCAGUUAAGAGUCAACCACGUUGCUAUAGGUCUGGAGUCCCAUGCAGACCAGACCAGAUCCCAGUGAUCAGUGCCAAAGCCCCAUUGCCUGUGAAGAGGGUGAUGUUUGAUUUCCCUGUCCAGCUGCAGUUCAUGUCGUGAAGGUGCUCCCACAAUGUGG